UAAAAUAAUUAUGUUUUUUGUAAUUUAUUAUAAAUUUAUUUUACAUAUAAAUUUUAGUAUAUAAUUUUAAUUAUUUUAAAAAUAAUUAAUUAUAAUAGUAGUAAUUAAUAUUAAAAAUUUAAGAAAUUAAGAUUUAGUAAUAUGAAAAUUAAUAACUAAUUUUGUGCCAGCAGUUGCGGUUAAACAAAAAUUAAAUUAAAUUAUUUCAGUUUAUAAUUAAUAAGUAUUAAUUAAAAUAAAUAUUAAAUUAUUAGGUGAAAUUUUAAUUUAAUUAAAUUUUAUUAAAAAAUUUAUGAUUUAAUAAAUUUUAUUAUAAACUAGGAUUAGAUACCCUAUUAUUAAAAAUUUAAUUUAUAAUACUAAAAUAGUAAAUAAUAAUUUAUUGAAACUUAAAUAAUAUGGCGGUAUUUUAGUUCAUUUAGAGGAAUCUGUCUAAUAAUUGAUAAUCCACGAAUAAAUUUACUUAAUUUAUAAUUUUGUAUAUCAUUGUUAAAAAAAUAUUUUUUAGUAAAAUUAAUAUUUAAAAAUUUUAAUAUGGGAAUUAAUUCAGAUCAAGAUGCAGAGUAUAAUUAAGAAUAUGAUGGAUUACAAUAAAUAUAUUUAAAUGAAUAAUUUUAUUGUAAAUAAAUUUGAAGGUGGAUUUAAAUGUAAUUUUAAUUAGUUUAUUAAAAUGAUUAAAAAUUAAAGUAUGUACAUAUUGCCCGUCACUUUCAUUUAAAAAUUGAAAUAAGUCGUAACAAAGUAGAGGUACUGGAAAGUGUUUCUAGAAAGAU
rnacentral:ncRNA from 1 species